rnacentral:rRNA from 1 species
UUAAAUUGAAGAGUUUGAUCAUGGCUCAGAUUGAACGCUGGCGGCAGGCUUAACACAUGCAAGUCGAGCGGUAGCACAGAGA